CCCUUAGAUGUUCUGGGCCGCACGCGCGCUACACUGAUGCAUUCAACGAGUCUAAAACCUGCUCUGAUAGGGGUGGGUAAUCUUUUGAAUGUGCAUCGUGAUUGGGAUAGAUGAUUGCAAUUUUUCAUCUUCAACGAGGAAUGCCUAGUAAACGCAAGUCAUCAGCUUGCAUUGAUUACGUCCCUGCCCUUUGUACACACCGCCCGUCGCUCCUACCGAUUGAAUGAUCCGAUGAAUAUCAUGGAUUGAGGAUGUAAGCAGGUUCGCCUGUCUUCAUCUUCGAGAAGUGAAGUAAAUCUGAUCAUUUAGAGGAAGUAAAAGUCGUAACA
rnacentral:rRNA from 1 species